ACACCUCAACUCUCAUGGUUUUGCCAUGAUGAGCUUGGACUUUGGGGGUCUUGCUGGCCUAUGGUCAGCUCCUCUUAAAUGAAUCAGCUUGCCAGUGUUUGGUGGCAUCGCAGGUGUGAUAAUUAUCUACGCUUGUAGUAUUCCGUCAAGUAACCUUCAGCGAUGGAGGUUCACUGGGGCUCAUAAAGGCCUCUCCUCUGUGAGGAAUGGCUCGUUUUGAAU
rnacentral:misc_RNA from 1 species